GUAACGGUAUUCGAAAGAACGUAGGAAGUGGGACGUCUACAUUUGCUUUCGCAUUUACAAUCCUCGCAAUAAGAAAAUUCCCUUAUAGAAAGAUGGUGGCGAUAGAAGCGUUCAUUCGUUGGUAACAUUGUGCGCGUGGACAAAUCCAUCGUGAUGACAGUUUCGAGCGGUGACAGUUGCGUACAUGUUUGUCAGGCUGCGAGAAGCGUUCCUUCCUAUUCCGUUAGUUAGUAAGAGCCACUUUCAUCGUUUCGGCCAACGCUCCGUUGUUUAAUAAGUUAUCUACGGAAUACGAAUCGUGCUGGAGAUGAAUGCGUUUGUUGGAAUGUGCGUUGCCAACGAGUGGAAUCGUCAAGGCACCGUUUUACGAUGCCAGGAAAAGCCGAGAAUGAACGUAAAGAUAAGCAAAACGAAGAAUGGAAUGGAGUCGUUACCACCACCACAUAAGAUCUUUAUGGUCCUACGUGGUAUCCUGACACCUGCGACUGCUCGACUUAUUCGGAAUAAAUUAUCCAAAAGGACUCGAGAAAGUAAUAACAACAACGGUACUCCAGUAGGACAAUUAGGGUCGACGCAUCAUGGACCUCAGCUGAUGAGCCUGCUUCGUUUAUGCACCACUGUGCACCACCAUCAUCACCACCACCACCACCAACAACAACAACAACAACAACAACAACAACAACAACAACAACAACAACAACAACAACAACAACAACAACAGUCUUCCCAGUGCGGUAUUUUGCAUUCCGACAAAAUAUUUCCGAACCCAUUGUCGGAACUUUAUCAGGAGGAGAGGAUAAAUUCGUCUCAGGAAAUUCCUAUUGACGAGCUGGCUCUACUAGCUAAGCUGGAGGAAGCCAAUAGGCUCAUCGAGUCGGAUGCAAAGUCGCUUAACUCUCUUCAGAGUAAUCAUAGUAGGAAAGGUUCGGACACAUCGCAGGUUUCCGUGGCGUCGGGGGGUAGCGGAGGUAACGGAGAUGCCGCACCCCGACGCCACACGACUGCCGAUGGUGAAGAGAACACCUGGAGUUUGUGGGGUCACAUAGUUUCCGAUUGGGAUUAUCAUUGGAAGAAGAGAAAAGAUUUUGUUAAAGAAUUAGUCCGACAGGGUAUACCCCAUCACUUCAGGGGUAUCGUCUGGCAAUUGUUGAGCGGCGCACACGAUUCUCCUGUAAAAAAACAGUUCGCAGAAUAUAUCAAAGCAACGUCAGCCUGCGAGAGGAUUAUCAGGAGAGAUAUAGCGAGAACAUAUCCUGAGCAUGACUUUUUUAAGGAAAAAGAUGGUCUUGGUCAGGAGAGUUUGUUUAAUGUUAUGAAAGCGUAUAGUCUUCAUGAUCGCGAAGUGGGCUACUGCCAAGGUUCGGGAUUCAUUGUAGGAUUGCUUCUUAUGCAGCAAAUGCCAGAGGAAGAAGCUUUUGCAGUAUUAGUAGCGCUUAUGCAAGAGUAUCGUUUGCGAGAUAUGUUUAAGCCGAGUAUGGCAGAAUUAGGGGUGUGCAUGUAUCAAUUAGAACAUUUAGUCGCCGAUACGCAUCCCGAACUACACGCUCAUUUCACGGCUCAAGGUUUUCAUACUUCGAUGUACGCCUCCUCUUGGUUUCUCACGCUGUUCACCACGGCACUGGGACUACCCCUCGCCUGUCGUAUCUUUGAUGUAUUCCUAUCCGAAGGAAUGGAGAUAAUCUUCAAAGUUGCGCUGGCUAUGUUGCAUUUAGGAAAGGAGGAUUUACUAAGUUUGGAUAUGGAGGGCAUGUUGAAGUUUUUCCAGAAACAAUUACCGAGCAAAGCUGAGAAAGAUCCGGACGUACUUAUGAAUCUGGCAUACAGCAUGAAAAUAAAUCCAAAGAGGAUGAAGAAGCUGGAGAAGGAUUAUACCGUACUCAAGAUGAAGGAGCAAGAAGAGAUGGUAGAAUUACGGAGACUCAGGGCGGAAAAUAGAUUACUCAGGCAAAGAACUGAACUUUUAGAGGCCGAAUCUGCUGAGCUCGCCGACAGAUUAGUGAGAGGUCAAGUUUCUCGUGCGGAAGAAGAGGAAACUGCGUUUGUAGUGCAAAGGGAAUUGGCUGCCCUUCGACACACGCAUCUUGAGACCAGUCAUCAGCUCGAACAAGCGCACGAUGAACUCAGAUCGUUGUCUCUUCUUUUAGAGGAAAACGUGAACUCGCGACAAUCGUCGCUCGACGAGAUCCUGUUGAAGCAGGAAGCUUUAUCGCAAAAGGAGGAACUGAUACAGUGCCUACAAGAGGAAUUGGUUAGGGUCAGACUAAGCGAGGCUGAAAAUGGUGUAACGAUCAGGGAACUUAGGGCCAGAAUACAGGAAUUGGAACAAGACAAAAAGACUUUACGCGAAUCAACACCUGAUAAUUCUGUUGCUCAUCUGCAGGAAGAACUGAUUGCUGUUAAACUCAGAGAGGCAGAAGCGAAUCUCUCUUUGAAGGAUCUCCGACAAAGGGUUAUAGAAUUGAGUGCUGCGUGGCAAAGGCAUCUACAGGAGCAUAGAUCUGCUCAAUCCGCUCCAGCAGCGGAUUCAACACCGAAAAAGUUACUUUUUUGGGAAAAUAGAGGUCACGAAGUACAAAAGUACGAGGAAGAUCUGAUGACCACCAGAAUUCGAGAAAUGGAAGCUCUUACUGAGGUCAAAGAACUUAGGCUUAAGGUCAUGGAACUCGAAACUCAAGUACAGGUCGCUACAAAUCAAUUGCGUAGGCAAGAUGAAAAUGGGAAGGUACUUAAGGAAGAAUUGGAGAAUGCACGUGCUGCGGAAAAAGUUCUCGCUGCCAAGUUGCGAGAUGAACAGCGUAAGUACGCCGAUUUGGAAUCGAAAAUAAAAGAUGAAACAAUGAUGGCUAGGAUACGUGAUGCUGAACAUGCUCAACAAGUUGCCGAGCUCACGCAGAAAAUUUCUUUGCUCGAAUUAAAGAACGAAGAAAUGCAUGCGGAAGGUGAGCUAAGAAAUAAUUUAGAUGACAGUGAGAGAGUAAGAGAACUCCAAGAUAAAGUUGCGGAACUAAAAGCAGAGGUCAUGAGGUUAGAAAGUUGGAAACAACGUUGGACCGGCCAUGGUGAUCAUCAACCCGUUCGAAGUUUUAGCAUCGACACUGAGAGUGAGUUAGACGAGCGGGAUCUGAGGAUUUGUUUACCAGAUCAUAUCAACACGACCACUCCAAACUCACCCGAGAUUGUUGAAACUGAGACCGAACGAGGUAAUCGGGAGUACUUGUAAAAAAGAAAAGAAAAGAACAGAAAAUAUGAUUAUUGCCCGGGUAACUCGUUCCUUAACAGUGACCUUCCUAGGAUGUGAUAGUAACUUCUGACAUCCGAUUUCAGCAGGAUAAAACAAUAUAACAAGAGGAAGAAGAGGAGGAGGAGGAAGAGGGGAGAAAAGCGAACGGCAAAUCGAUCUUAAUUGAAAAAUCUUCGAUAUUUUAUAAUGUGAUGACAUGUAUAAGAUUGAAUAAAAUGUAUUACGUAUUUACAAUGAA